CAGUCGCCGCGGGAAUACGUAGGGUGCGAGCGUUAAUCGGAAUUACUGGGCGCAAAGCGUGCGCAGGCGGUUAUAUAAGACAGAUGUGGAAUCCCCGGGCUCAACCUGGGACCUGCAUUUGUGACUGUAUAGCUAGAGUACGGUAGAGGGGGAUGGAAUUCCGCGUGUAGCAGUGAAAUGCGUAGAUAUGCGGAGGAACACCGAUGGCGAAGGCAAUCCCCUGGACCUGUACUGACGCUCAUGCACGAAAGCGUGGGGAGCAAACAGGAUUAGAUACCCCCGUAGUCCCUGUCUCUUAUAC
rnacentral:rRNA from 1 species